GCCACAGUCACGCUCUGAGGCCGGCUGGAGGAAGCUUUUUUUUUGGUUCUCUUUUAAAUGCUGGGGGAAAUUCCACCACACGGGAUAGACCUUCCUAGGAGACGAAUGCACAGCGGGGCCAGCUUAGGAUGCAGUGUAUCUGACAGCCGGGGAGACCCCGCAUGAAGGGCCAACCACUGCCCCCACCUGGGAGAAGCAGGUGAAUACAAAGACUUACAGUUUACUGGGGACAGAAGACGUGGCUGGAGCCAGCAAUGGAUGCAUUAUGCCGGACUUUCACCAGAAAAUGACAAUGCCCACUAAAAGGCAAAAAUCAUAGCCUGAAGAGAUGAAGCAAGCAUCAGAGCCAGACUCAGAUAUGGCAGAGGUUUUGGAAUUAACAGAUUGAGAGAGAGAGAAAGAGAGAGCGCGUGCGUGUGAGUGAAUGCACAAAAACAGAGGGAGAAGAAGCAGGCUCCCUGGUGAGCAGGAAACCCAAUGUGGGGCUCAAUCCCAGGACCCUGAGACCACAAUCUGAGCUGAAGGCAGAAGCUUAACCAACUGAUCCACCCAGGCAC